GAUGAAGAACGUAGCGAAAUGCGAUAAGUAAUGUGAAUUGCAGAAUUCAGUGAAUCAUCGAAUCUUUGAACGCACCUUGCGCCCUUUGGACAUUCCGAAGGGCAUGCCUGUUUGAGUAUCAUGAACACCUCAACUCUCACGGCUUGUCCGUGAUGAGCUUGGACUUUGGGGGUCUUGCCGGCCUGUGGUCGGCUCCUCUCAAAUGGAUCAGCUUGCCAGUGUUUGGUGGCAUCACAGGUGUGAUAACUAUCUGCGCUUGUGGUUUUCCAUCAGAUAACCUUCAGUGAUAUGGAGGUUCGCUGGAGCUCACAAAUGUCUCUCCUUAGUGAGGACAGCUCUUUGAACGUUUGAUCUCAAAUCAGGUAGGACUACCCGCUGAACUUAAGCAUAUCAAUAAGCGGAA
rnacentral:misc_RNA from 1 species